rnacentral:rRNA from 1 species
GAGGAUGCGAGCGUUAUCCGGAUUUAUUGGGUUUAAAGGGUGCGCAGGCGGAAGAUCAAGUCAGCGGUAAAAUGUCGGGGCUCAACCCCGGCCGGCCGUUGAAACUGGUUUUCUGGAGUUGGAGAGAAGUAUGCGGAAUUCGUGGUGUAGCGGUGAAAUGCAUAGAUAUCACGAAGAACUCCGAUUGCGAAGGCAGCAUACCGGCUCCAUACUGACGCUGAGGCACGAAAGCGUGGGUAUCGAA